GUGCAAUUUUUGAGAAUGGUCUUGUCCUGGAUGGCACUUUCAUUGUACAAAAUUGCAAGAGCAUUUGGGUUUUUUGCUUGCCUUGUUGCUCAAAAAGAAAACCAGAGCAACGUAGGCCAAUGAAAACCUGGACA
rnacentral:snoRNA from 1 species